rnacentral:rRNA from 1 species
ACUCCUACGGGAGGCAGCAGUGGGGAAUAUUGGACAAUGGGCGCAAGCCUGAUCCAGCCAUGCCGCGUGAGUGAUGAAGGCCCUAGGGUUGUAAAGCUCUUUCACCGGAGAAGAUAAUGACGGUAUCCGGAGAAGAAGCCCCGGCUAACUUCGUGCCAGCAGCCGCGGUAAUACGAAGGGGGCUAGCGUUGUUCGGAAUUACUGGGCGUAAAGCGCACGUAGGCGGAUCGAUCAGUCAGGGGUGAAAUCCCAGGGCUCAACCCUGGAACUGCCUUUGAUACUGUCGAUCUGGAGUAUGGAAGAGGUGAGUGGAAUUCCGAGUGUAGAGGUGAAAUUCGUAGAUAUUCGGAGGAACACCAGUGGCGAAGGCGGCUCACUGGUCCAUUACUGACGCUGAG